CCUACGGGGGGCAGCAGUCGAGAAUCAUGCACAAUGGGGGAAACCCUGAUGGAGCGACGCAGCGUGGGGGAAUGAAGGUCUGCGGAUUGUAGACCCCUGUCAUGUGGGAGCAAAUUAAAAAGAUAGUACCACAAGAGGAAGAGACGGCUAACUCUGUGCCAGCAGCCGCGGUAAUACAGAGGUCUCAAGCGGUGUUCGGAAUCACUGGGCGUAAAGCGUGCGUAGGCUGUUUCGUAAGUCGUGUGUGAAAGGCGCGGGCUCAACCUGCGGACGGCACAUGAUAGUGCGCGACUAGAGUAAUGGAGGGGGAACCGGAAUUCGCGGUGUAGCCGUGAAAUGCGUAGAUAUCGAGAGGAACACUCGUGGCGAAGGCGGGUUCCUGGACAUUAACUGACGCUGAGGCACGAAGGCCCGGGGAGCGAAAGGGAUUAGAUACCCCUGUAGUC
rnacentral:rRNA from 1 species